rnacentral:rRNA from 1 species
AAUGAACGCUGGCGGCAGGCCUAACACAUGCAAGUCGAACGAGUGGAGGAGGGGUGAGUAAUGUCUGGGAAACUGCCUGAUGGCGGGGGAUAACUACUGGAAACGGUAGCUAAUCCCGCAUACCAUCAGAUUUGCCCAGAUGGGAUUAGCUAGUGGGUGGGGUAACGGCUCACCAAGGCGACGAGCCCUAGCUGGUCUGAGAGGAUGACCAGCAACACUGGAACUGGGAAACGGUCUAGAUUCCGAAGGGAGGCAGAAGUGGGGAAUAUUGCACAAUGGGCGAAAGCCUGAUGCAGCCAUGCCGAGGGUAUGAAGAAGGCUUUGGGGUUGCAAAGUACGUUCAUCGGGGAGGCGUUACCUGCAGAAGAAGCACCGGCUAACUCCGUGCCAGCAGCCGCGGUAAUUC